UAGAGAGGGACCGUAACAUAC
rnacentral:siRNA from 1 species